rnacentral:rRNA from 1 species
UUGGGAAUCUUCGGCAAUGGACGGAAGUCUGACCGAGCAACGCCGCGUGAGUGAAGAAGGUUUUCGGAUCGUAAAGCUCUGUUGUUAGAGAAGAACGUUGGUAGGAGUGGAAAAUCUACCAAGUGACGGUAACUAACCAGAAAGGGACGGCUAACUACGUGCCAGCAGCCGCGGUAAUACGUAGGUCCCGAGCGUUGUCCGGAUUUAUUGGGCGUAAAGCGAGCGCAGGCGGUUCUUUAAGUCUGAAGUUAAAGGCAGUGGCUUAACCAUUGUACGCAUUGGAAACUGGAGGAAUUGAGUGCAGCAGGGGAGAGUGGAAUUACAUGUGUAACGGUGAAAUUCGUAGAUAUAUGGAAGACCACCGGUAGCGAAGGCGGCACUCUGGUCUGUAACUGACGCUGAGGCUCGAAAGCGUGGGGAGCAAACAGG